CGACUGUACUUAUUCGAAAUUUAUGAUAGUGAGCUUGGGCUCGAGGCGACAACCAGUCGCCGAACGUAGUCGCGGUCAAGGGAUGAACGCUUUGUCUAACAAAGGCAUGGAGUAAUUCUAUAGCUCUCCUUAAAAGAAAUAGUCAUAGCGGCACGUGACAGUAAACAUUCCAACAGACAAACAGUCUUUGUUCCAACUACGGGAAGAUAGGAGAAAUCUAUUUUUCCACGAACGACGCUUCCCGCUAACAACUUUCCCUCAUGGGCUGCUAGCAUCUUUUUCUAAC
rnacentral:misc_RNA from 1 species